UCUGGAAACAAUGUCUCAUUUCUUUGGUAUGUUUCGCGCGUUUGUAGUCAUUUGCAAAGUAAACUUCAUUUGAUAAACCUCAUUAUUGUUAUCGCCUGUCUAUUUCUUGGUCGUCUAUUUAAAAUGAAACACUUAUCAAUUGUUGGAGCAUCUUUUGUCUUACUUCUGAUCUUUUCCUGUUUUCUGAAAGAACAUGGAGUUGAAGGACAACCAUCAAUCAGUGUAAAGGUGCGCAGUUGUAAAAGAUACUGCCGACGACCACCGUCAAAAUAUGGAUGUGAAAAUUGCUGUAGAGCGCAAAGUAGCAGAUACGACAAAGGACAAUGCUAUUAUAACUCGUGUUAUUGUUGGCAUUUGGUAUAAUUAUUAACCCUUAAUGUCAGUAUAAAUAAUAAUAAGAAAAAAAAAGAAAAA